GGAGUCUUGUGAUUACAUUGGACACAUCCAGGUGAGAACAUUGAGGAACAGAAGGGAUAAGUCAAUGGGGCUAGCGCUGGUAAGGACUUGAACAACCUAGCUCCAGAGCCCCUGUUCUUGGACAGGGACCGUGUGGCAC